UAGGGAAUCUUCCGCAAUGGACGCAAGUCUGACGGAGCAACGCCGCGUGAGUGAAGAAGGAUUUCGGUUCGUAAAACUCUGUUGUUAGAGAAGAACAGCGCAUAGAGUAACUGUUAUGCGUGUGACGGUAUCUAACCAGAAAGCCACGGCUAACUACGUGCCAGCAGCCGCGGUAAUACGUAGGUGGCAAGCGUUGUCCGGAUUUAUUGGGCGUAAAGCGAGCGCAGGCGGUCAAUUAAGUCAGAUGUGAAAGCCCCCGGCUCAACCGGGGAGGGUCAUUGGAAACUGUUUAACUUGAGUGCAGAAGGGGAGAGUGGAAUUCCAUGUGUAGCGGUGAAAUGCGUAGAUAUAUGGAGGAACACCGGUGGCGAAAGCGGCUCUCUGGUCUGUAACUGACGCUGAGGCUCGAAAGCGUGGGGAGCGAACAGG
rnacentral:rRNA from 1 species